AGAGUUUGAUCCUGGCUCAGGACGAACGCUGGCGGCGUGCUUAACACAUGCAAGUCGAACGGAAAGGCCCUUCGGGGUACUCGAGUGGCGAACGGGUGAGUAACACGUGGGUGAUCUGCCCUGCACUUUGGGAUAAGCCUGGGAAACUGGGUCUAAUACCGAAUAUGACCAUGCGCCUCCUGGUGUGUGGUGGAAAGCUUUUGCGGUGUGGGAUGGGCCCGCGGCCUAUCAGCUUGUUGGUGGGGUAAUGGCCUACCAAGGCGACGACGGGUAGCCGGCCUGAGAGGGUGACCGGCCACACUGGGACUGAGAUACGGCCCAGACUCCUACGGGAGGCAGCAGUGGGGAAUAUUGCACAAUGGGCGCAAGCCUGAUGCAGCGACGCCGCGUGAGGGAUGACGGCCUUCGGGUUGUAAACCUCUUUCAGCACAGACGAAGCGCAAGUGACGGUAUGUGCAGAAGAAGGACCGGCCAACUACGUGCCAGCAGCCGCGGUAAUACGUAGGGUCCGAGCGUUGUCCGGAAUUACUGGGCGUAAAGAGCUCGUAGGUGGUUUGUCGCGUUGUUCGUGAAAACUCACAGCUUAACUGUGGGCGUGCGGGCGAUACGGGCAGACUUGAGUACUGCAGGGGAGACUGGAAUUCCUGGUGUAGCGGUGGAAUGCGCAGAUAUCAGGAGGAACACCGGUGGCGAAGGCGGGUCUCAGGGCAGUAACUGACGCUGAGGAGCGAAAGCGAGGGGAGCGAACAGGAUUAGAUACCCUGGUAGUCC
rnacentral:rRNA from 1 species